rnacentral:rRNA from 1 species
GCGAUUCCCUGAGUAGCGGCGAGCGAAACGGGACCAGCCCAAACCAAGAGGCUUGCCUCUUGGGGUUGUAGGACACUCUGUACGGAGUUACAAAGGAACGAGGUAGAUGAAGAGGUCUGGAAAGGCCCGCCAUAGGAGGUAACAGCCCUGUAGUCAAAACUUCGUUCUCUCCUGAGUGGAUCCUGAGUACGGCGGAACAAGUGAAAUUCCGUCGGAAUCCGGGAGGACCAUCUCCCAAGGCUAAAUACUCCCUAGUGACCGAUAGUGAACCAGUACCGUGAGGGAAAGGUGAAAAGCACCCCGGAAGGGGAGUGAAAGAGAUCCUG